rnacentral:tRNA from 1 species
GGGUUAGUUUCUUAAUUGGUAAAGAACUUUCUUGUCAAGAAAGUGUAUGUCGGUUCGAACCCGACCUGGCCCG